rnacentral:rRNA from 1 species
GACAGAGGGGGCAAGCGUUGCUCGGAAUUACUGGGCGUAAAGGGCGCGUAGGCGGGCUCAGAAGUCGGUCGUGAAAUCCGUGGGCUCAACCCGCGGGGGUCGGCCGAAACUGUGGGCCUUGAGGGGGGCAGAGGAGCCUGGAAUUCCCGGUGUAGCGGUGAAAUGUGUAGAGAUCGGGAGGAACACCGGUGGCGAAGGCGGGGCUCUGGGCCUGCCCUGACGCUGAGGCGCGAAAGCGUGGGGAGCAAACGGG